AUUGAACGCUGGCGGCAGGCCUAACACAUGCAAGUCGAGCGGGGUUUUCGGACCUAGCGGCGGACGGGUGAGUAAUGCGUAGGAAGCUGCCCGAUAGAGGGGGAUACCAGUUGGAAACGACUGUUAAUACCGCAUAAUGUCUACGGACCAAAGUGUGGGACCUUCGGGCCACAUGCUAUCGGAUGCGCCUACGUGGGAUUAGCUAGUUGGUGAGGUAAUGGCUCACCAAGGCGACGAUCCCUAGCUGGUUUGAAAGGAUGAUCAGCCACACUGGAACUGAGACACGGUCCAGACUCCUACGGGAGGCAGCAGUGGGGAAUAUUGGACAAUGGGCGCAAGCCUGAUCCAGCCAUGCCGCGUGUGUGAAGAAGGCCUUCGGGUUGUAAAGCACUUUCAGUAGGGAGGAAGCGUUGUGUGUUAAUAGUACACAGCAUUGACGUUACCUACAGAAGAAGCACCGGCUAACUCUGUGCCAGCCGCCGCCGUAAUAC
rnacentral:rRNA from 1 species